GUCACUGCUUGAUCUUGAAAAAUGUUUCUCCGUUCUACAGGCGGACUCCUGACUUCUUCUAUCUUCGACACGCAACAACCUCCGUUCUACAGGCGGGUCCCUGACAAUCAAAACAAGCAAAACAAACAAAAUUUCCUAACCCAGUUUGCACUGGGGAGGUUUGUGAGUUGUCAGCAAAAUCGUAACUCACUUACACUACUGAUGCAAUGAUGAGAGUAAACUAAAGACUAGUCUAGGAUGUGCAUCUCCUAUGAGUAAAACCAAAACUCUUGCUAGAAAAUGUGUCUGCUAAAAUAAAAACCUCAAUGACUCAAACCAGAGAGUGUGUCUUCUAUGGUUGAAUCGGAAUGAGCUAAACUAGGAAGUGCGUCUCCUAAGGGCGAAAACUUCAGUGAUUAGAACUAGGAAGUGUGUCUCCUAUGAAUAAAAUCUCGAUUAGGAAGUGCGUCUCCUACGGGUAAACUUAAAAAAAAAACUGGACUAGGAAUUGUGUCUCCUAUGGUCGAACUAAAAAUGAAUCAAACUAGGAAGUGCAUCUCCUAGGGGUGAAAUCUCAAUUCCGGAAGUGCGUCUCCUGAAAUAAAAUAUAAUCUAAAAAGCCAAACUCGGGAGUGUGUCCCCUAAAGCAAAAGUAUAACCUGAGUGAACCAGACUAGGAAGUGUGACUCCUAAUAAUGAAAACUUAAUUCAGGAAGUGCGUUUCCUGUGCAUGGAAUUAAACUUAGGAAGUGCGUCUCCUAGGGGUAAAACUAAACUUUAGGAAGUGCGUCUCCUACUGGUGAAACUUUUUAGGAAGUGCGUCUCCUACUUGUGAAACUUUUUAAGAAGUGCGUCUCCUACUUGUGAAACUUAGGUUAGGAAGUGUGUCUCCUAUUGGUACAAUGGACUUAGGAAGUGCGUCUCCUAUUGGUGAAACUGAACUUAGGAAGUGCGUCUCCUAUUGGUGAACCUAUUCUUAGGAAGUGCGUCUCCUAAUGGUAAAACUAAACUUAGGAAGUGCGUCUCCUAUUGGUAGAACUAAACUUAGGAAGUGCGUCUCCUAUGGGUGAAAUGAACUUAGGAAGUGCGUCUCCUAUGGUGAAACUGAACUUUUAGGAAGUGCGUCUCCUAUGGUGAAACUGACUUAGGAAGUGCGUCUCCUAUUGAUGAAACUUGCUUAGGAAGUGCGUCUCCUAUUGGUGAAACUUGCUUUAGGAAGUGCGUCUCCUAUGGUGAAACUGACUUAGGAAGUGCGUCUCCUAUUGAUGAAACUUGCUUAGGAAGUGCAUCUCCUAUUGGUGAAACUUGCUUUAGGAAGUGCGUCUCCUAUGGUGAAACUGAACUUUAGGAAGUGCGUCUCCUAUGGUGAAACUGAA
rnacentral:lncRNA from 1 species